AUCCAGGGAUGGGAAUCGAACCCACAGUGUUCCGCUUACUGGGCAGAUGCCAUGUCCACUAGGCUACCCUGGA